GGGGAUUUAGCUCAGCGGUAGAGCGCUUGCCUAGCAAGCACAAGGUCCUGGGUUCGGUCCCCAGCUCCG
rfam:Rattus norvegicus chromosome 15, whole genome shotgun sequence.